AGAGCUUGCUCUCUGAUUCAGCGGCGGACGGGUGAGUAAUGCCUAGGAAUCUGCCUGGUAGUGGGGGACAACGUUUCGAAAGGAACGCUAAUACCGCAUACGUCCUACGGGAGAAAGCAGGGGACCUUCGGGCCUUGCGCUAUCAGAUGAGCCUAGGUCGGAUUAGCUAGUUGGUGAGGUAACGGCUCACCAAGGCGACGAUCCGUAACUGGUCUGAGAGGAUGAUCAGUCACACUGGAACUGAGACACGGUCCAGACUCCUACGGGAGGCAGCAGUGGGGAAUAUUGGACAAUGGGCGAAAGCCUGAUCCAGCCAUGCCGCGUGUGUGAAGAAGGUCUUCGGAUUGUAAAGCACUUUAAGUUGGGAGGAAGGGCAUUAACCUAAUACGUUAGUGUUUUGACGUUACCGACAGAAUAAGCACCGGCUAACUUCGUGCCAGCAGCCGCGGUAAUACGAAGGGUGCAAGCGUUAAUCGGAAUUACUGGGCGUAAGGCGCGCGUANGUGGUUUGUUAAGUUGAAUGUGAAAGCCCCGGGCUCAACCUGGGAACUGCAUCCAAAACUGGCAAGC
rnacentral:rRNA from 1 species